rnacentral:tRNA from 1 species
GGAGUGGCGGAAUGGUAGACGCACAGGACUUAAAAUCCUGUGUCCGCGAGGACGUGAGGGUUCAAGUCCCUCUUCCAG